rnacentral:rRNA from 2 species
UACAGAGGGUGCAAGCGUUGUUCGGAAUUAUUGGGCGUAAAGCGCGUGUAGGCGGCUUGGCAAGUCGGGUGUGAAAUCCCUCAGCUUAACUGAGGAAGUGCGCCCGAAACUGCUUUGCUUGAGUGCCGGAGAGGAUGGCGGAAUUCCCCAAGUAGAGGUGAAAUUCGUAGAUAUGGGGAGGAACACCGGUGGCGAAGGCGGCCAUCUGGACGGUAACUGACGCUGAGACGCGAAAGCGUGGGUAGCAAACAGG